rnacentral:misc_RNA from 1 species
GGGGAAUCCUUGGUUGUGGGAAUCACAUUUCCUCAUUUAUAAGAAUGGAAAAAUUAAAAAAAAUAGUAUCAAGAAACACACAUAAAGGGAAUUUCAUUUUCAUUUUCAUUCCCAUUCUUGAAUGAGUUUUUAGCUAACCAAACGAGAUCUUAAUUUUUGAUGCACGAUGGACCAUUUGUUGAGCUCUUGUCUCUGAUAUUAUAUUAUGUUAUUCUGUCGAUGUGCAUCAACCC